UUCUCUACUAAUUUUUUAACUAAAUUUUUAACAAUUAUUAAUCUCCUGUUUUUCAUCAAUAUGUCUCAAAUCUUAAGAGAUAAAGCUAGAAAUUCGAUUUGUUAAAUCUUAGUCUAUUUAUUUGGAUUAUAAAUCUUAAUAUGUAAGAUUUAAAAAACUAAUGUUAUAUAAAAUAUGAAUAAUACUUACAUUAUUAAAUUUUACUAUAUUAGUU
rnacentral:lncRNA from 1 species